UGCGGGGUAGUGUAACGGUAACACGGCGGGUUAGUGUCCCAGCAGAUCACAAGUUCGAAUCUUGUCCCCGCUAC
rnacentral:tRNA from 1 species